rnacentral:pre_miRNA from 11 species
AGCCGCAUGCGAAAAUAGAUCUUCGCAUGCGGUCUUGUUAAGUGGACUGUAUGCGAAGAUCGAUCUUCGCAUGCGGCU